rnacentral:rRNA from 1 species
CACGUAGGGCGCGAGCGUUGUCCGGAAUUAUUGGGCGUAAAGAGCUCGUAGGCGGUCUGUCACGUCGGCUGUGAAAUCCCGAGGCUCAACCUCGGGUCUGCAGUCGAUACGGGCAAACUAGAGUAUUGCAGGGGAGACUGGAAUUCCUGGUGUAGCGGUGAAAUGCGCAGAUAUCAGGAGGAACACCGGUGGCGAAGGCGGGUCUCUGGGCAAUAACUGACGCUGAGGAGCGAAAGCGUGGGGAGCAAACAGG